rnacentral:rRNA from 1 species
GACGAACGCUGGCGGCGUGCUUAACACAUGCAAGUCGAACGGAAAGGCCCUGCUUUUGUGGGUGCUCGAGUGGCGAACGGGUGAGUAACACGUGAGUAACCUGCCCUUGACUUUGGGAUAACUUCAGGAAACUGGGGCUAAUACCGGAUAGGAGCUCCUGCUGCAUGGUGGGGGUUGGAAAGUUUCGGCGGUUGGGGAUGGACUCGCGGCUUAUCAGCUUGUUGGUGGGGUAGUGGCUUACCAAGGCUUUGACGGGUAGCCGGCCUGAGAGGGUGACCGGGCACAUUGGGACUGCGAUACGGCCCAGACUCCUACGGGAGGCAGCAGUGGGGAAUAUUGCACAAUGGGCGGAAGCCUGAUGCAGCAACGCCGCGUGCGGGAUGACGGCCUUCGGGUUGUAAACCGCUUUCGCCUGUGACGAAGCGUGAGUGACGGUAAUGGGUAAAGAAGCACCGGCUAACUACGUG